AUAAACAAAUAAAGCCUAUAUAUAUAUUGAACUCUAGUCUCAAAGCUCCCCCACUAGUCAAUAACUAGAUCAGCUACUUGACAUCCUUCCACUCCAGCUCUGCUCUACUCUACUCUACUCUUAUAGAGUAGAAUUUACAUCUCUCUUCCUCUCUUCUCUGAAGUUCUUGAAACAAACAGGAGUACUUCCUACACACACACACAGAAAAUUAAGCAUCUAUGUGCUUGAGAUCCAUCAGCAAGGAAUAGUUCCAUCCAGCUGGUUCCCAAAGGAUGGAAAGUGCUAAAGACAAAGCCCCUAAAACUGACCUCAAGGAGGCUGCUUCAUCUAAGCAAACGAUAAGCUUUUCAGGCAGAGGAGUCACUGAGGACUGUGAUGUACUUGAGCUGCUGGGGUCCUAACUCCUAACUGAUGAGCAAUCCGAUUUGCGAAAGCUGGCCUAGAUGUUGCUUAGAAGCUUAUGUACACAGAGCCUAUAAUGUACAUGUAAUAUUUCUGAAGUAAGUCAACGUCUAUGACUAUCGUUUUUUUUUUUCUGUUCCUUGUUCCUUCAA